rnacentral:rRNA from 1 species
UGGGGAAUUUUGGACAAUGGGCGAAAGCCUGAUCCAGCAAUGCCGCGUGAGUGAUGAAGGCCUUAGGGUUGUAAAACUCUUUCAGCAGGGAAGAUAAUGACGGUACCUGCAGAAGAAGCUCCGGCUAACUCCGUGCCAGCAGCCGCGGUAAUACGGAGGGAGCUAGCGUUGUUCGGAAUUACUGGGCGUAAAGCGCGCGUAGGCGGCCUGACAAGUUGGGGGUGAAAGCCCGAGGCUUAACCUCGGAACUGCCCCCAAAACUGUCAGGCUAGAGUCCGGGAGAGGCAGGCGGAAUUCCUAGUGUAGAGGUGAAAUUCGUAGAUAUUGGGAAGAACACCGGUGGCGAAGGCGGCCAUCUGGCUCGGUACUGACGCUGAGGCGCGAAAGCGUGGGGAGCAAACAGGAUUAGAUACCCUGGUAGUCCACGCCGUAAACGAUGUGUGCUAGACGUUGGGGGUCUUAGGCCUUCGGUGUCGCAGCUAACGCGUUAAGCACACCGCCUGGGGAGUACGGCCGCAAGGUUAAAACUCAAAGGAAUUGACGG